GGUUAAGCGCAGAUGAAGCGCUAUGCCACCUGGGGAGUACGGCCGCAUAUGGUUGAAUACUCAAAGGAAUGUCGGACGGGGGCCCGUACAAGCAGUGGAUUAUGUGGUGUAAUUCGAAGCAACGCGAAGAACCUUACCCAGGUCUUGACAUCCAACUAACGAGAUACGAGAUAUGUUAGGUGCCCUUCGGGGAAAGUUGAGACAGGUGGUGCAUGGUUGUCGUCAGCUCGUGUCGUGAGAUGUUGGGUUAAGUCCCGCAACGAGCGCAACCCCUGCCAUUAGUUGCUACGCAAGAGCACUCUAAUGGGACCGCUACCGACAAGGUGGAGGAAGGUGGGGACGACGUCAAAUCAUCAUGCCCCUUAUGACCUGGGCUACACACGUAAUACAAUGGCCGUUAACAGAAGAGAUAGCAAAGGGGCGAGGCAGAGCAAAACUCCAAAAACGGUCCCAGUUCGGAUUGUAUGUCUGCAACCCGGAAUACAUGAAGUUGGAAUUUCUAGUAAUCGGG
rnacentral:rRNA from 1 species